rnacentral:tmRNA from 1 species
ACUGGCUUCGACUUCGGUCGUUGAUUCGGGAGAAGCGAGCCGUGGUCUCCGGAGCCACGUUAAAGAGCCGGAACCAAAAACAAACGCCGAGCCUCAGCUCAGCCUCGCUGCCUAAUUAGGUAGCGCGUCCGUCCGGUCUCAGCCCUGUGGGCCGGUAGCGGGCGUCAUUAAGCAGGGCUCACCCUCCUGGGCUCGUCAGCGGAUCGGGAGGGGACACCUCAGCUGACUGGGGUCCCGCACUGGCGCCGGUGGCUGGGCGGGACCCGAGAUCCUCCCACCGGCUGCGCUCGGAGAAGCCCCGUGGAGGAGCCGGAGGACGCGGGUUCGAUUCCCGCN